AGGACGAACGCUGGCGGCGUGCUUAACACAUGCAAGUCGAGCGGUAAGGCCUUUCGGGGUACACGAGCGGCGAACGGGUGAGUAACACGUGGGUGAUCUGCCCUGCACUCUGGGAUAAGCUUGGGAAACUGGGUCUAAUACCGGAUAUGACCACAGUGCGCAUGUGUUGUGGUGGAAAGAUUUAUCGGUGCAGGAUGGGCCCGCGGCCUAUCAGCUUGUUGGUGGGGUAAUGGGCCUACCAAGGCGACGACGGGUAGCCGACCUGAGAGGGUGACCGGCCACGACUGGGACUGAGACACGGCCCAGACUCCUACGGGAGCAGCAGUGGGGAAUAGUUGCACGAAUGGGCGGAAGCCUGACGCAGCGACGCCGCGUGAGGAUGAAGGCCUUCGGGUGUAAACCUCUUUCAGCGAGGACGAAGCGUAGAGUGACGGUACCUGCGAGAAGAG
rnacentral:rRNA from 1 species